rnacentral:lncRNA from 1 species
AAGUUGUCUGCAUCCGCAGCACCUUUCAAUCCAUCAACACCCAUUUCACGUGCUGCACUACUCCCCAUGAACAUCACUCUUCCUCCUGCUCCUGGACCUGUUCCAGCCGUUGCACCUUGGCCGGUGAACAUGCCUCCUAUUCACUCUGCACCUUCUACUGUCUUACCAAAUCCAAUGUGCUCCUCCCCUCGCCAUCCAUAUCCAUCACCUCCUCCAACUCCUGGACCUGUUCCAGCCGUUGCACCUUGGCCAGUGAACAUGCCUCCUAUUCACUCUGCACCUUCUACUGUCUUACCAAAUCCAAUGUGCUCCUCCCCUCGCCAUCCAUAUCCAUCACCUCCUCCAACUCCAAACAUGAUGCAGUCUCUAUCCUUUAU